AUUGAACGCUGGCGGCAGGCUUAACACAUGCAAGUCGAGCGGAGAUGAGGUGCUUGCACCUUAUCUUAGCGGCGGACGGGUGAGUAAUGCUUAGGAAUCUGCCUAUUAGUGGGGGACAACAUUCCGAAAGGAAUGCUAAUACCGCAUACGCCCUACGGGGGAAAGCAGGGGAUCUUCGGACCUUGCGCUAAUAGAUGAGCCUAAGUCGGAUUAGCUAGUUGGUGGGGUAAAGGCCUACCAAGGCGACGAUCUGUAGCGGGUCUGAGAGGAUGAUCCGCCCCACUGGGACUGAGCACCGGACCAGCUCCCUCCGGGAGGCAGCAGUGGGGAAUAUUGGACAAUGGGCGGAAGCCUGAUCCAGCCAUGCCGCGUGUGUGAAGAAGGCCUUUUGGUUGUAAAGCACUUUAAGCGAGGAGGAGGCUACCUGGAUUAAUACCCUAGGAUAGUGGACGUUACUCGCAGAAUAAGCACCGGCUAACUCUGUGCCAGCAGCCGCCGUAACAC
rnacentral:rRNA from 1 species